CCUACGGGAGGCAGCAGGGGGGAAUAUUGCACAAUGGGGGAAACCCUGAUGCAGCGACGCCGCGGGAGGGAAGAAGGAAUUCGGAACGUAAAGCUCUAUCAGCAGGGAAGAAAAUGACGGUAGCUGAGUAAGAAGGCACGGCUAACUACGUGCCAGCAGCCGCGGUAAGACGUAGGGGGCAAGCGUUAAGCGGAUUUACUGGGUGUAAAGGGAGCGUGGACGGUUCGGCCAGACUGGAGUGAAAUGCCGCAGCUUAACUUCGGAACGUCUUUGGAAACUGGCGAACUCGUGUGCGGGCGGGGUCAGUGGAAUUCCUAUUGUAGCGGUGCACUGCGUAGAUAUUUGGAGGACCACCGGUGGCGACGGCGGCUUUCUGGACCCUACCUGACGUUGAGGCUCGACAGCGU
rnacentral:rRNA from 1 species